GGAGGGUAUAGCUCAGUGGUAGAGUGCGUGCUUAGCAUGCAUAAGGUCCUGGGUUCAAUCCCCAGUACCUCCA
rnacentral:tRNA from 1 species